CCCAGAGCGCCUGGCACAGCAUUGCAUCCAGCUGGUUCCUGGAUAUCUCCAAAAAGGGAGACUCCACACCCUCUCUGGACAACCUGCUCCAGUGCUGCACAGGAAAGGAGUUCUUCCUUAUGUUUAGGUAGAACUUCUGUGCAUCAGUUUCUGCUCAAUGCCUCUUGUUCUAUUGCUCAGCACCACCAUUUACACGCAAAACAUCCCAGCUGACCAUUGUACACAAGGACAGAAGCUAAGCAGGGGCAGCAUUUCAAGUCAUGUUUACGAUAAGGAACUUCAAAUACCUUUUGUAAAUCUUAAAGCCUAGUGAAAUCAUAUCCUAGUAAUAAUCACAAAAUUAAAAAAAAAAA